rnacentral:lncRNA from 10 species
CCGCCGACAGCCACGCCUCCAGCCCACUCUGGCCACGCCACUGGUCUGCCUUUGGACCACACUCAUGGCCGGGUGCCUUCCCUGACUCCGCCCUAGGCCCUGCCUCCUAUCUGGCUCCGCCCAGCCCUGGCCAACCUUAGAACCUGUCCCAAGGUCCAGAGAGGCCUAGAUGAGGGGUAGCCUGCCUCUGAGAGGCAUGGAGCCCUCCUCCCGCGUGGGGUCAGGGAAUAGAAGGGCGUCGAGGGUGGCGGGUGAGGGAACGUUCCUGGCGCCGCGAACGGGAAGCCUCCAGGCUGCAGGACGUAGCUGCGGGGACCCGGCAGUCUGCGAGGCUGGAGUGGCCGAGGCCGCCCCGAGCAUAGAAACAGCCCUGUAUACGUGGGCACAGAAAGGCCCAGGGAGGCGCCUGGGCAGAAGUGUCUAGGACGAUGCCUCUGCCACGGAGCCCUGGAGUGGGGGCAGCUGAUGGCUCAAGACACAUGAGCUCUGGUGGUCCUAUCCCCUUCCCUUCUUCCUUGCAGUUAUCCCUGGGAGCUGCCUCUGCCGGUUCCAGUCCCUGGAACACCUGACAACUGCUCUUCCUGCCACCAGUUUUACCCUCUCCCCCAUCCAUUUUUCAUAGCCAUGUGGUGUUUCUUUUUUUCUUUUCUUUUUUUUUUGAGGCAGAGUCUUG